rnacentral:sRNA from 1 species
GUUUAGCCCAGAUUGAAACGGCAUCCUUUUUAUCUCGUUUUCAAAACGAGAUGAAAAGAUAUAGUGUAAAGCUGGAAAUUGC